CGUGCCGAUAAUAUCGUGCGUCAAUAGUUUUGAUGGUAUAGUUGCACAUCAGCCACCACAGUGGAUCCUAGUGUGUUAUCCCAUACACUGCUAUCCAUUGGCCAGCCUUUGUAAGUGCAACACAAAUUUCUCAAAACCAAGAUGGCUGCUGGCCGGCCGGAAACGCUCAGCAGUUCAGGAAUAUCUUGCCAGUCCUUCUAUGGUAGCAGGCCCUUGCAGGGUUCUCCUAAGUGAUAACAGUCCAAAAUGUCCUCUCUUGUGACAAUGGAGCACCCAGCAGAUCUAACCUGUCCCUCUGUCAAAUACUGUAUGUUGACUGCCUUUGAAGCCAUGACACGCUCCAGAGUGGCCACAACCAUCUAGGCAUAACCCACAGCGCUGCUCUGAUGGGGAGGAAUGUACAGCUGAGGAUGAGCAGGCAUUUCUCUUAUCUUAUCAAGAGUAUUUCAAGCAAUGGGUUCAUAAAGGAACGCCAACAGACAGAUCUUCACAGAUGAGUAUUUGGGGAGAAAGUCAGGGCACUCACCUGCAUCAAUCAACGUCACUGCGCGCAGUUGGUGAGCCCCUGCCAGCAUCCUGACAUCACAGCUGGAGUUACAAAUGGAUGUGACACUCUUGUUCUUUCCUUCACAGCCCUCUCUCUUUGCUUGCGUGCCUCCCUGGCCGCGACAUUCCCCAAAAUACAGUGGAUAUGUUUCAUAGCUGCUGUUGUGAAGAUCUAUUUUCAAUCUUUAACCUACUGCUGUUUACAGAUGUGAGCUUUUAUCUCUGUCUUGGAUAUCUGUGCCUGGUUUCCAGUAUUUUGGUUUCAUCAGUAGAAAAGAUGGUAAUGUCACAUCUCUCUCUCAUAGUCUGAGGAAGUAACAGUAUGUGAAAAUUUGGAUUCUGACUGCAGGUGAUAAUGGUGUGACCUUCAGGUAUAAUAAGGUCUGAUUCUCAUAAGAGCAAAUUAUUGUGCAGACAAGAGGCUGGAGAGCACUGUGUGGAAAGAGGUAGAGCUGUAGGAUCCACAAAAGGUCAUGAUUACAGUCAUUAAGGAAACAUACCAGACAAAGGAAAUGGAUUAUAUCACAGGCUUUCUAUUGUGAAACACCUUUCUGAGAGGAAAUGAACAGGUCAGACUGCAGCUGUGGGUAAAUCAUAUUAUCUCAAAUGUAAAAUGUUGAUGUUCAAAUGUUAGUUAUUUUUGCUGGCAUUUGUUGGGAUGGCAACAACAAUGAUUAUGGUGUUCACAAAAUGUAAGGUUGUGCAGUUUUGUUUUUCUUUCCUUUUAAAGCAAUGUAUUUAAAAGCAAACAUGGUUGGAUCCAAAAAGCUGCCGUGACUUGAUAGCUCAUCCAUAGUGUCAUCUCUUGGAGGUUCCUGCAGCUCAUGAAUACACCACAGGAAAACAAGUGUCAGCUAUGCAUACAGAGCAGCCUGAAGUUGAUUUUUUUUUUUUUUUUUUUUUGCUGUGUCCCAUUUCUUCCCUUCACCCUUACCCUUCUGCUGAGUGUGCAUUCACCUGAAACACAGUGAUGUGUCCCAGUUAAAAACUUCAUUCUGCCAAGCGAUUAUUAGCCCGUCCACUCUCCGGCCAAAUCCACUGCACUUGGCACUGAGCGUUAGCCAUGACACCAUGCAAAAAGAUUAAGAAAAACAAUUCACAGCAAGGGGCAGUAAAGAAAGAUGAAUCAUGUGACCUGCUGUGAUAAAACACAAAAAGAAGAAAAAAAGAUGAAGAUAAGUUUGUUUUCAAAAUAUGAAUUUUUAUUGUAUCAUUUCAGCCAUAAGAUUUUAGAAUUUUGGUUCUGAUUUUUUAAAACAUAUUCCAUAUAUUAGUUGAAAGCUAGCAGUAAGUGGUGCAGAGUACAUAAUAUUUUUGUAACUGUGAAUAGCAGCUACUAUUUUAACAUAGUCACUGUUGAUGUCUUGUCAGACAUUCUUCCACAACACUGGAACAAACAGGUGCUUCUUUGUGAUGAUGUCUAUAGGGCAACACAUGCCA